UGUUCUUCAUUUCCCUCUAGAAAUGGCGCACCAAUUCACUAACUAAGCGGCAUGGUGUGAGAGCUCCUUGUGGCUCAGCCCAGGCCUGAAUGGCUUAUUAUUCGUGAUCAUUUUAAAGCGUCACGGCUCAAAAUGGGACUAAGGAUCCUGGCAUUCCCGGCACCACGAGGUCACGCUCGGCUGCAGACCCAGUUGCCCCUGCUCGCCUCUCCAAAGGGAAGCCUCUGCAAGGUCCUGGACCGCGCUGGGCAGCCCCAGCACCACGUCCCUAGCGGCAGGCGCAGCCCCGUUGCCCGGGGAACCGCAGCACGCCGCUGCGUUCGCCGAUUAGCGGGUGUGUGAGUGGCGAGGCCUGGCAGGCCAGGCAUGGAGCUGCCGGACCCUGUUCGCCAGCGCCUGGGCAACUUCAGCCUCACGGUGUUCGGCGACUCCAGCCGCACCGGGCCGGAGUCCUGCGAGGCCACGGAUAAUGAGAUGGUCUCCAGCUUGCCAUUGCAGAUGUCACUGUAUUUCAACUCUUACUUUUUCCCACUGUGGUGGGUGAGCUGCAUUGUGAUGCUUCACCUGAAGUAUUCGGUCUUGCCCGAUUACUACAAAUUCAUUGUGAUCACUGUCAUUGUCCUCAUAACCUUGAUGGAAGCGAUCCGGCUGUACCUGGGCUGCAUGGGGAACCUGCAGGAGAAGGUUCCUGAGUUGGCUGGCUUCUGGCUCUUGAGCCUUCUACUGCAGUUGCCGUUAAUCCUUUUCUUGCUCCUCAAUGAAGGCCUGAGAAACCUGCCUUUGGAAAAAGCAGUACAUAUCAUCUUCGCUGUCUUCCUUACUUUCCAAGUCAUCUCAGUGUUUCUGACCCUGAAGAAAAUGGUCAGUCAGCUGGCGGCCCGUUUCCACCUCCAGGACUUUGAUCGGCUGUCUGCAAACAGUGCCAUCAUGAGGAGGAGGAGGCCGUGUACAGAAGAGCUCUGACCAGUGCUGAAGAGUUGAUGUCUGCAAGAUAAGUCAGGAAGACUGAGAGAGUGACAGAACACCUGAGAUCAGGCUGGGGAAGGGCACAGGUGAAAAAUCAGUUUGGGGCCAAUGUACUCUCACCAGGUGUGUCAGCACACUCCAGGACAUGCCCACACCCAGAAGUAGUUGGCCAACACAAAACAAACUCAGUGGUAUUUCGGUGGACUUUUUGUUUCGUUUUGCUUUUUUUUUUUUUUCUUUUGUCUUAUUGUUAGGGGACAGGAAGUUGGGGAGGAAUUGGGAAAGAGGGAAAAAAAAAACAUGCAAAAUGUAUGGUACCAAGAAAAAAUUAAUAAAAAAAGAAUGUGUAACACCCCCUUUAAACGUUCAGUUAUCUAGUGGGCUCUUCUGAGUUUCUUGGAGCACAUGGAAACGCUUGCUCAUCAACAUGCUCAUGCAGUAGAAGGUAUUUUUAAAGGAGACAAAAUUCUGGGUGUGCUGGUCAAUUCCCAGUCUCUUCCCAGUUGCUGUCCUGAGGUGAGGGAGGUGGGUGUGCUGUGGUAUUUAUAGAGUUUAUCCUGAGGUGAAGGAGGCGACAUAUUAUAGUAUUUAAGGAAUAUUUUGUCAUAAAACCAUGUUCAGUAUUUGUGAUGGAGGUAUAGACUUUUUUUUUUACCAUAAAUCAUAAGGUAUUUAUAUUAAAAUAUCAGUAAUGCAUCCUUGCCUUGUGCAGUU